AGUGAACGCUGGCGGUAGGCCUAACACAUGCAAGUCGAACGGCAGCACAGUAAGAGCUUGCUCUUACGGGUGGCGAGUGGCGGACGGGUGAGGAAUACAUCGGAAUCUACUUUUUCGUGGGGGAUAACGUAGGGAAACUUACGCUAAUACCGCAUACGACCUACGGGUGAAAGAAGGGGAUCUUCGGACCUUGCGCGAUUGAAUGAGCCGAUGUCGGAUUAGCUAGUUGGCGGGGUAAAGGCCCACCAAGGCGACGAUCCGUAGCUGGUCUGAGAGGAUGAUCAGCCACACUGGAACUGAGACACGGUCCAGACUCCUACGGGAGGCAGCAGUGGGGAAUAUUGGACAAUGGGCGCAAUCCUGCUCCAGCCAUACCGCGUGGGUGAAGAAGGCCUUCGGGUUGUAAAGCCCUUUUGUUGGGAAAGAAAAGCAGCAGGUUAAUACCCCGCUGUUCUGACGGUACCCAAAGAAUAAGCACCGGCUAACUUCGUG
rnacentral:rRNA from 1 species